UUUCUGGCCUGGUCGCCAUAGGUUUCUCCGUCGCCUAGGGUGUGAGUUCUUCGGCCUACGUUCUUUUUUCAGAUGAGAAACAAUGAAAAAAUCUGAAGAGCGUUACAACUUUUCGUUUGGAUCUCCUUGCGUUCCCAGAGGAACAUACUGGAGCUUCGGGUAUAAAUACCCCCUCAUCCAGAGAUGAAGAUUACAGCUUCUCCGAGAAUCUUUAGAAUACUCUGUUCAACUUUCCGGUAAUUACAAUGGGGAAUCCCCAAACCCUUCUUGCCGAUUUGAGAGCUGGCCGGUGCUCCAACACUGCAGAGGUUAGGUUGCUGGAGGCUAGAAAUGUGAGGAAAGGCAGUGAGCUAAUGAGUCUUGACAUGCUCUUUGUCGAUGAGAAUUCGACUCUGACCCAAGGAUCUAUUAGUGCGAACCGUCAACUUAGGUUCAGGGAACGUCUCAAAGGGUCUCUCUACACGUUAACUGGUUUUGACGUCACACGCAACAGCCACAAUUUUCGGUUGUCUGAUGCUUCCUUCUCGAUUCGGUUCAAUGAUGGAACCUCUCUUGAGAAGAAGACGGAGUCUGUUAGGCCCAUACCUUUGGAACUUUUCAGAUUCAUGCCAUAUAGUCAGUUGCUUGAGCUGGCGACCACUGGCAAACAACUCCCUCAUAUGUAUCUUCAGUCUGAGUAGUUUUAAUGGUUUUGUGAUAUCAUGUGUUAGCGUAAUCACAUAAGUUCUUUAUCAGACAUACUUGGUGAGUUGAAUGCAAUCUGCGUCUUCAAAGUGGUGAAAGUGUUAGUAUGUUUGAUUCGAUGGCUCUUGCAUUUCAUACCAAAUUUGACAGCUAUGGGAAAGAGCCAAAAGUUAUAAUUGCCACGAGCGUGAAUCCUAAGAUAGUUGGUGGUGACUUAUUAUGUAACAGACCAAGAAAGCUUCAACAAUGCCAAGCAAUGGCUAAACCAAAUCGGCCGCUACACCAGUGAGAAUGUGAACAAGCUACUGGUUAGGAACAAUUGUGAUCUCACUUCACAGAAAGUUGUAUCCGCUGAAACAACCAAGUCUUUUGCAGAUGAACGUGGGAUCCUAUUCUUGGAGUCACACGCCAAGAAUGCUACCAAUGUCGAAGAAUGCUACCGUGUUUGUCGCAUUAGACGGUGAAAUGACGAAGCUGAUUAGUGUCCAUGCUGCAGAGGUCCCACAAAUUAUAUUUGUCAGAAAGAAACAGAUGUGAUCCAAUUUCUUAUAAAUAAAGGUUCUCUUAAAGCUUGCUCAUCAACUCAUCUUUGUUGAAGUAAUCAAAACCUAGGUACAGCAACGUGCUUGAUCCAUCGAAGAUUGCUUCAUAAAAAAGGCCCGAUAAAGACAAGACGACCAAAAGACCACUGAUUUUACAUUGGUAGGACGCCACAUUUAAGAUAUUUUCUUAACUACUCUUAAGUUUUAGUUAUAAUGAAAGCCAGCUGUUUCAUAAACACUCUGGCAGC